CCAGCAGAGCCGGCUGUCGCUCUCGUGGGAACUCGGGAAGUGGUACAGGGCUCAUUGAUCAAGCCUUGACCAUUUCAUGGUUCCCGGGGAGCCCUCAGGAACGGCCGGGGAGUUGCUGCCGUCCCCCGGGACAACAGCGUCGGCCUCUGAGCACGGCCGAAGCGUGCCCGGGCAUUGUUAGGGGAAUGCUGUAGCUGACCAAGGGACCACAGCCCGGUGACUGCAGGAAAUUCCAGCGGGCAAGGUGGCCUUCCUUCACAGCCGACAUGGAUUCUCAUCCCUGGAUGUCCGAGAGAUGAGUCGAGGGCUGUGACACCCAGAGGGGUGAAAGCGAGGUGCUGGGAGGGCUUUUUGAGUAGUGGCUUAGGAGGCGGGGAUGUGCCAGAGGUGGUCCCUUAGGCCACAUGAAGGAAAAGUCUCACAGUGCUGAGGUGCUCAGGGCACAGCAGUCCCGGUGCAUGUCACUUGUGUCACUUGUCUGUCAUGCCUUCUGGGUCUUUUGGGUAUCUCCCGUUGCAUGACUUUUGCUUUAGUCCUUUGAGAGGCUUAUCAGAAACCCAGGUGUCCAUCUUUGCAUCUCAGAUCUCUCUGCUGCUCGGCCCAGUGCUGAUUCCUUCGCACCCUCGAGUCGGGAGCCUGGACAGGAAUUGGCAUAGCAUAUCUCUUUAGAAGCAUCCAGUCAGAUGUCUUUCAUGGUCUUGUUCUGAGCUGUUCUCAACAGCUGUGCACAGCAAUGAUCCAUCCUAGUGCAUUAGGACUUGUACUAGCGAUGAUAGCUAGAGGAUUCUUACCUGUGAGUGGGCAGCUGCCUCCUGAAAUUCCAAACUGUGUAUCAUGUCUCCCCAUCCCAACCACCAACCACCUCCAACACGCGCUGCCUUGACUGUCCCCUGCACCUCCUGCAAACUUCCAUCAAGAACCUGGGUUGGUGAGUUUGGUUUCCCAGGGAAGAGGAUGGCAUUUGUGUUCAUGGCCCUGAGGCCCUGAGUGGGUGGCCGC